GUAGGGGGCGAGCGUUGUCCGGGAUUUAUUGGGGCGUAAAGAGCUCGUAGGCGGUUGCGUAAGUCGGAUGUGAAAACUCAGGGGCUCAACCCUGAGAUGCCAUUCGAUACUGCGCUGACUCGAGUCCGGUAGGGGAGCAUGGAAUUCCUGGUGUAGCUGUGAAAUGCGCAGAUAUCAGGAGGAACACCAGUGGCGAAGGCGGUGCUCUGGGCCGGUACUGACGCUGAGGAGCGAAAGCAUGGGUAGCAAACAGGAUUAGAUACCCUGGUAGUCCAUGCCGUAAACGUUGGGCACUAGGUGUGGGGCCUACUUAACGGGUUCCGUGCCGUAGCUAACGCAUUAAGUGCCCCGCCUGGGGAGUACGGCCGCAAGGCUA
rnacentral:rRNA from 1 species